UUGACAACCCUGGAGACUGCAGUCCUUUCUUCAUCCACAGAGCCAGUGUAGCAUAGGCAAUGGCAGGAGAGAUUUCUUCUCCGAAUACGAUGCAACCAAAGUGCCUCUCCCAGGACCAGGAGAGACCACUUCUAGGGAUAAGCAGUUAGUUUGGUCUCUGUGCUCGGCCGCUCCUUGACCUUU
rnacentral:sRNA from 1 species